CUUUAUGGCGGGCCGUACGGGCAACCUUCGGGUUGGCCGGUUUCCUUUUUGUCCGGUAUUGCGACCCCGUACAGCCCGCCGCCCUU
rnacentral:antisense_RNA from 1 species